rnacentral:rRNA from 1 species
GACGAACGCUGGCGGCGUGCUUAACACAUGCAAGUCGAACGGAAAGGCCCAGCUUGCUGGGUACUCGAGUGGCGAACGGGUGAGUAACACGUGGGUGAUCUGCCCUGGACUCUGGGAUAAGCCUGGGAAACUGGGUCUAAUACCGGAUAUGACCUUACAUCGCAUGGUGUUUGGUGGAAAGCUUUUGCGGUUCAGGAUGGGCCCGCGGCCUAUCAGCUUGUUGGUGGGGUAAUGGCCUACCAAGGCGACGACGGGUAGCCGACCUGAGAGGGUGAUCGGCCACACUGGGACUGAGACACGGCCCAGACUCCUACGGGAGGCAGCAGUGGGGAAUAUUGCACAAUGGGCGCAAGCCUGAUGCAGCGACGCCGCGUGAGGGAUGACGGCCUUCGGGUUGUAAACCUCUUUCACCAGGGACGAAGCGUGAGUGACGGUACCCGGAGAAGAAGCACCGGCCAACUACGUG